UUUAAAAUAUAAUUGACGAGAAAUUUUCCUUCUUUUUGAUCGAAGAAAAUGUACCAGAAAGUUUGAUUAUUG
rnacentral:misc_RNA from 1 species